GGCAGGCCAUAUCGAAGCUGUAGUAGCUCUGAUCAAAAGCAACUACAGUCAUAAAUCGGCCAAUAGUAAAAAGUUCUUUUUUAUGGUCACAGAUUGAGUAGUUUAUAUAUUCUUUCUGUAUUACCCAAAAAGUGCACAUUG